GUCAAGAAGUUUUUGAAGUUUACACACGCCGAAUUUUAUUGCCGAUUGGAAAUAAAUAAAUUGAUUUCUUUUCAUGAAAAUACUUCUGAUUGUAUUAUAAUAAACAAAAUGAAAGUCGUUUAUUUUCUAGUAUUGAUAAGUUGUAUCACAAUAUCUGAGAGUGUCUUACAGAGUGUGAGUGAUGAUGAUAUUUUGCAGUUGAUCAAAGAUCAUGAAAAACUUAUUGUUUUCUUCACAAAAUCAAACUGUCCAUUGUGUACAAAAUUUGAGGAGCACAUUGAAAGUUUGCACGAAGACUUCGAGAAACAUCUGAAUGCAUUUACUGUAAAAGCAAGCAAUAGCCAUUUAGUGAAGCUUUACAGCCCAACCAAAGAACCAGCUAUUGUAUUCUUCCGACAUGGGAUACCAAUGUUAUACAAUGGUGAGGCUGAUGAAACUGCCAUAUACACUUUCCUUGAGGCAAAUCAAUCACCGGCAGUGAAAGAAAUGACCGAUAAGAUAUUUGAACAUAUGACUCAAGCCGCUACUGGUGCUACCACUGGUGACUGGUUUGUUAUGUUUUAUGGGGCAUCAUGCGUUGAGUGCCAGAGACUUCACGCUGUAUGGGAAGGAGUAGGAGCGACAUUACGUGGUCGCAUCAAUGUGGCCCGUGUAGAUGCCAAUUUGGCAGGAAUCAACACAGCCAAAAGAUUUAAAGUAACCAAGUUGCCCACAUUCUUAUUCUUCAGACAUGGCAAGAUGUACAAAUAUGAUCUACCGAAGAAUGAUAUAAAAUCAUUUGUGUCAUUUGCUCAAGACUGGUACAAAAAUGCUAAAAGUGAUAAUGUUCCACUUGUGCCAUCUCCAUUUGAUGAUGUCGUAGAUUGGUGUGUAGAAAUGAUAAGAUUUUGGGUCACUUUUGGACUGGAAAUACUAGCGAAAUAUCCCUGGAUCUGGCAAAUUGGUGUGGCUGGAUUUGGCCUUGUAGCCAUAACAGCUCUUAUAGCCCUGGUAAAGGCUGGCAAAACUAAACCAGUCAAAGAAACUAAAAAAGACAAGAAAAGUAAAUAAUGCUAUGCUAUAAAUAGUUAUAGAAUAUAGAUUCUAUUAGCAUUAUUUAAAACUUUUGCUCAUGCAUUUACAUUUUGAUAUUUUUAUAGUUACUUUAUUUAUAUGCUGUACAGACUUGAUUUUUUAUAUAUUUUGGACUGUUGUAUUUAAGUUAUAUUGUGUAUUGUUUUCACAUGGUGAAUAAAACUUGGUUUGAUCUAUCAAAAUAUUUAGGCAAUUCCGUCCAAAAAAAGAGUUAAAUAUAAUUUGAGAAAUGUAAGAAAUGAUCUCUUUAAAUAUUGUGUUGAGGUGUUUUUGAUUAUUUCAUAAAUAUCUAUGUAUUGUAUAACUUGUUGUGCGUUGGACUCUUAAUAUUCCUCCUUCUGAAGGAAUAUUAACUUUAUGGUUGGACUUUCUGUGAGCCUUCAAGCAGAUUAUAAAUAAAUAAAUAAUAAUAAAACAAUCCAUGUUAUUUAAAUAUUUAUUAUAAAAUAAAUAAAUGUAAAAACAAGUUUUUUUUUCUACAUUUACCACACAGUGUUUGCCUCUGCAACUUAAAAAACUAAAGUAGGUACUUAAAUUGGUCACAGCUUUUAAAAUAUUAAUUUAAUAUAUUUUAUUUAGAUCCCUUGAUAUAACUAAUCUCAUUGUCAAUUACAUAUUAUUUACUUCAUACAGACAUCAACAUCAUCACAUCUAAAUAUAAUAAAUUAUGCUAAAGAAGAAAAGAAUGAGGUACAUUCAUCUAUUUCACACAACAUCAAAUUACAUGAAACCACUAAGAAAAUUAACAAUGAACCCUGCCUGAGUAUCAGAUUAUUAUAACAUGAUUUUCCCCUAAUACCUGUAAGCUACACACACACAUGCAUUGAACACCAACUUUGUAGUGAUUAAGACAAUACAAAUUACAUUAAAAACUGAACCUACAGUGAUACAUUUGGAAAUUAUUAGGUUAAAAUGUGUUAAAUCAAAUCUACACAUUCAAGUGCUUGUGCCAAAGCUGACCAGUAGCAAAUA